AACAGGAGCCUCAAGGACUUUUGACUCAAAUGGUCCCAUUAAAGUGCCUUGUGCAUCACUGACUACUAAGAUUCACUACCUCCAGAUCAGCUAAAGAAGGCAUCUUCCCUUCUGCAUUUGUUUAGUUGCUUACACAGAUUCAGGUUGGUGGGAACUGAUUGGAACGGCCUUCACGUUCUUGAAAAGUUUGAACUGAAGAGGAAAGACCCGUCUUGACUAUGGCCAUCACCAUUCCGUGGACUGGGAUCUCAGACCCAGUGAAAAGAAGAAAUUAAGUAGUAUCUCAGAAUUCACCUUUCUCUGCUUCCUGACAACAUUACCAAUGGGUUCAUGUUCCUGCUGCCAUGCUUCUCUGCCAUGAGGGACUGGACCAUCAAACUGGGAGGCAAAAUAAACCCUUUUCUCAGGUAUUUUCUCACAGCAACCACAAAAGUGGCUCAUAAUGGAACAUUGGUGUUGAGAAGUGGGGCUGUUGUGGCUAAGCCUGACCAUGUGGGACAUAGGCAUUUGGAACUGGUUUAUAGCUGAGAGUUUGGAACUUUGAGCUAGAGAAGCCUUAGAGUGCUAUAAAUAGAGUUUAGUAGGCUAUUCUGGUGGUGUUUUGGAAAACUAGAAUGCCAAGACAAACGUGGAUAGUGGAGAUCUGGCUCACAGGGGUUUGGAGAGAAAAAGAGUAUUGAAAAUUGAGCUACAGGCCAUUUGUGUGAUAACCUGGCAAAAAAAUCUGGUAUCAGGCCAUGCCAUUAGUGCCAUGUCCUAGGAACUGGAGUGAGGCUAGAUUCUAAAGCAGUGGACUCAUUCCCUUGGUGGAAGAAAUCUGAAGAAAGCUUAGCGUUCAGGCUGUGUAAUGUUUACUGACUACUGCUGUCAUCCAGGUCUCCAGUGAGAAAUAGCACAAAUGAGACAAAAGAAGACAGAUGUGUCAGUUUGGCGGGGGAAGGGAUGGAUUUAAAGGUGUAGGCAAGGCAGAUCCAGAGAAAGCAGCAGUACUUGUUAAAAGACAUUAGCAACAUUAAAGAGAAACCUUGUGCUCUGUAUUAGAUAUUAGUGAAGGUUCCUUAAAGAUAAGACCUCACCCCCAAAAACCCCCUAUUUUGUCAAAAUAUGAAUUCAUUUGAAAGGAGAAAUCGUAAAGUGCUGAUGGUGUUUUCUGCUUCUUGAAAGCAGUUACCUAGGAAAACCUUUCCCCAUGGUUGGCACACAGGCCAAUAUACUUGUAGGCUAAGGGACCCAGGUCACAGCAGAACUUUGUAGUAUCACUCCCAUGGUACAGGUGUGAAAGAUGUAGGUGUGGAGGAGUCAUGGAGACUUGCACUAGAGUUCCAGAAAGCACUGAGACCAGGCAAUGUGUCGCUUGGUUGGAGUCUCUGUAAACUAGCCCUGAGAGGCUACUAUGUGAACAUGUUAAAGUGAAGUCUAAGUUGCAGUAUGGAUCCCAGGAUGUUGAAGGUACCAGAACUGUGGGUCAUCGCCUGAGGAAAGCCCCAUGCAUGGAGCCGUGUCAGCCCCAGAGAGAAGUUGCUGCAAAUGGCAGCGCUGGAGAUCUGGGACUACCCAAGCCCUUGGAAAUCCAUAGGAGUCCAUCAUGAGCUCCAGAUGCGGGCCAUAGAGCUGCAGGAUCUGAUGUUUGCCCUGCUGGGUGUCGGUCUUUCUUUGGACACACCCUUGCUUGCUGUAAUUCCCACUCUUCCUGUUGGGAAUGGGAGUUUUUCUUCUUUGC
rnacentral:lncRNA from 1 species